GCGAGUAAGACCCUUGCCCUAGUGGCUCGGUACAGUCCCCUCAUAUACACCCGUUAUUCGUGAACUCGUGGUUCAGCUGACGAUGAAAGCUUUGGCGACUAGCCCGUCCGUCGGUUCCGCUCUUUAUACCCCUUUAUGUGAAGUCAAUGGAAAUUAUGAUAAUCUAAUACA
rnacentral:misc_RNA from 1 species